rnacentral:rRNA from 1 species
CAGUGAGUGGCGAACGGGUGAGUAACACGUGGACAACCUGCCUCAAGGCUGGGGAUAACAUUUGGAAACAGAUGCUAAUACCGAAUAAAACUUAGUGUCGCAUGACACAAAGUUAAAAGGCGCUUCGGCGUCACCUAGAGAUGGAUCCGCGGUGCAUUAGUUAGUUGGUGGGGUAAAGGCCUACCAAGACAAUGAUGCAUAGCCGAGUUGAGAGACUGAUCGGCCACAUUGGGACUGAGACACGGCCCAAACUCCUACGGGAGGCUGCAGUAGGGAAUCUUCCACAAUGGGCGAAAGCCUGAUGGAGCAACGCCGCGUGUGUGAUGAAGGCUUUCGGGUCGUAAAGCACUGUUGUAUGGGAAGAACAGCUAGAAUAGGAAAUGAUUUUAGUUUGACGGUACCAUACCAGAAAGGGACGGCUAAAUACGUGCCAGCAGCCGCGGUAAUACGUAUGUCCCGAGCGUUAUCCGGAUUUAUUGGGCGUAAAGCGAGCGCAGACGGUUUAUUAAGUCUGAUGUGAAAGCCCGGAGCUCAACUCCGGAAUGGCAUUGGAAACUGGUUAACUUGAGUGCAGUAGAGGUAAGUGGAACUCCAUGUGUAGCGGUGGAAUGCGUAGAUAUAUGGAAGAACACCAGUGGCGAAGGCGGCUUACUGGACUGCAACUGACGUUGAGGCUCGAAAGUGUGGGUAGCAAACAGGAUUAGAUACCCUGGUAGUCCACACCGUAAACGAUGAACACUAGGUGUUAGGAGGUUUCCGCCUCUUAGUGCCGAAGCUAACGCAUUAAGUGUUCCGCCUGGGGAGUACGACCGCAAGGUUGAAACUCAAAGGAAUUGACGGGACCCGCACAAGCGUGGAGCAUGUGGUUUAAUUCGAAGCAACGCGAGAACCUUACCAGGUCUUGACAUCCUUUGAAGCUUUUAGAAGAUAGAAGUGUUCUCUUCGGAGACAAAGUGACAGGUGGUGCAUGGUCGUCGUCAGCUCGUGUCGUGAGAUGUUGGGUUAAGUCCCGCACCGAGGCGCACCCUUUAUUGUUAGUUGCCAGCAUCAGAUGGCACCUCCUAGCG